ensembl:processed_transcript
CUACUAGAGAACUUUGGCCGCAGCUUGUAGACAGCUUAGACGGGACAACGACCAGGGACAGCGAGCAGGAGUAUCAGUCAGCUGGUUGCUGCCGCUGCUACAACCGACCCAGCCACAGCUGGAAUACCCUCAACCUGGGCAGUGACUACUGUGCUCUACACAGUCAGCGGCUGAAGGGCAGUCUCGUGCCAGCCAUUGAAAAUGCUCACGGCACACAUCCCUGCUGACCUUCCCCAAGACCAUGGAGAGGCAGCUGAGUCCUUAGUUUGAGGAAGACAGGAUAACAGCCUGUUCCCGCUGCUAGAGGCCAGUGAGAUGGAGAGGCUUGCAGAGGUCACUGAUCAAUGGAUCACAGACUCUCAAGCUCAGCAGUGGUGGCCCAGGACUUUAAUUCUAGGACUCAGAAGGCAGAGGCGGGCAGAGUUCGAGGCCAACCUGGUGGUCUACAGAGCAACGGGACAGCUGGGAGUAUGCAGUGAAACCCUACCUCAAAAAGACAAACAAACAAACGAAAUAUCAUAGAUUCUCCAUCUAUGACACCGCUUGACACCAUCGAUGGCUGCUGUGUCGAGCCUCACUUCUGCCAGGCCGUCCUUAGUUCUGGGACCACAGGGACCCAGGCUCUGCUGUGAAGAUCCUGCGCGGGAACGGUCCCGACCUGCC